rnacentral:misc_RNA from 1 species
UGGAACCCAUUCUUGCAACUUGGA